rnacentral:misc_RNA from 1 species
CGUGAUUGUUUCCUUCUCAAGUAGGACCUCAACAAUCUUGUCCAUGGCCUCGCGGUUGUUCCUAAUGUGAGCCAAUGCAAUUUCGUAGGCUUCGUCGGAUAUUCUCUUGAUGGCUGCAUCGAUGUCCUCAGCAAGUUUUUCGGACAUGGAGUUCCGAGCCAUCAUUCUCAUGAUAACAUCAGCACUCUGAGCUGCAGAGUCCAUGAGAGACCAUGGACCUAUUUCAGACAUCCCAAAUGUUACAACCAUCUGUUUGGCUAACCCAGUGAUCUGUUGCAGGUCACCUGCUGCACCUGUUGUCACCUCUGGCUCACCAAAGAUCACUUCCUCGGCUGCCCUGCCGCCUAGUCCACCGACGAUUCUAGCAAAGAGUUGCUGCUUGGAGAUCAAGGUUGGAUCAUCGGAAGGAAUAAACCAGGUAAGACCACGAGCCUGACCACGUGGAACUAAGGUCACCUUUUGAACAGGGUCAUGUCCAGGAGUCAAAGUACCACAAAUGGCGUGCCCAACUUCAUGAUAUGCCACAAGGCUUUUGCUUUUCCCAUCAGUCAUUACUGUUCCUUCCAUACCAGCCACAAUCCGAUCAAUUGAGUCGUCAAUCUCUUUAGAUGAAAUAGCAGUCUUACCACGCCGUCCAGCCAAUAUGGCAGCCUCAUUCAAGAGGUUUGCAAGAUCAGCCCCACUAAAACCAGGUGUUCUCAUGGCUAUAACAUCGAGAGAAACACCAUUAUCAAACUUCUUGUUAUUAGCAUGAACCUUUAAAAUUUCUGUCCUCCCCUUCACGUCAGGAACAUCAACAGUGACCUGUCUAUCGAAACGUCCAGGCCUCAAUAAAGCAGAGUCAAGAAUGUCUGCCCUGUUAGUGGCAGCAAUUACAAUAAUCCCAGUGUUUCCCUCAAACCCAUCCAUUUCAGUUAGAAGCUGGUUAAGUGUUUGUUCUCGUUCGUCAUUCCCACCACCAAUGCCAGUGCCUCUUUG